rnacentral:rRNA from 1 species
UGGGGAAUAUUGGACAAUGGGCGAAAGCCUGAUCCAGCCAUGCCGCGUGUGUGAAGAAGGUCUUCGGAUUGUAAAGCACUUUAAGUUGGGAGGAAGGGUUGUAGAUUAAUACUCUGCAAUUUUGACGUUACCGACAGAAUAAGCACCGGCUAACUCUGUGCCAGCAGCCGAGGUAAUACAGAGGGUGCAAGCGUUAAUCGGAAUUACUGGGCGUAAAGCGCGCGUAGGUGGUUUGUUAAGUUGGAUGUGAAAUCCCCGGGCUCAACCUGGGAACUGCAUUCAAAACUGACUGACUAGAGUAUGGUAGAGGGUGGUGGAAUUUCCUGUGUAGCGGUGAAAUGCGUAGAUAUAGGAAGGAACACCAGUGGCGAAGGCGACCACCUGGACUAAUACUGACACUGAGGUGCGAAAGCGUGGGGAGCAAACA